rnacentral:rRNA from 1 species
AUGGAGUCCGGCGGUGCAGGCGAGGUGCGGCACUGGAACGCCGACGUCAACGGCGUCUCCCUCCACGUCGCCGAGCAGGGCCCCGCCGCCGGCCCGGCGGUGCUCCUCCUCCACGGCUUCCCGGAGCUCUGGCUCUCCUGGCGCCACCAGAUGGCCGCUCUCGCCGCCCGCGGCUUCCGCGCCCUCGCCCCCGACCUCCGCGGCUACGGCGACUCCGACGCCCCCGCGGACCCCGCCGCCUACACCAUGCUCCACGUCGUCGGCGACGUGGUCGCGCUCCUCGACCACCUCCGCCUCCCCAAGGUGGUGGUGGUGGGUCACGACUGGGGUGCGCAGGUGGCGUGGCAUUUCUGCCUGUUCCGGCCGGACCGGGUGCGCGCCGUCGUCGCGCUGGGGAUCCCGUUCUUCCCCCGCUCCCCUCGUCCGAUGGCGGAGAUGUUCGCGGCGCGCGGCGACGGGUUCUACAUCACGCAGUUCCAGGAGCCUGGAAGAGCUGAAAAGGCAUUUGCUCGGUACGACGUCGCGACUGUCCUAAAGAAGUUCUACUCCCUUCAAUUAGAUGACCUUGCUGCUCCUCCUGGAGUAGAGAUCAUAGAUUUUUUCGAGGCGUCAUCAUCCCCACUUCCUUGGAUGACCGAGGAAGAACUGGGGCAGUAUGCCGAGAAGUUUCAGAAGUCUGGCUUCACCGGACCCCUCAACUACUACCGCGCCAUGGACACGAACUGGAGGCUUACUGCGCCCUGGCACGGUGCAAAGAUCACGGUGCCUGCGAAGUUCAUCGGGGGUGAGAAGGACGUCGGUGUCGAGUCCUUUGGAGUCAAGCGCUACAUCGAGAGCGGGGGUUUCAAGUCCAAUGUUCCAGACCUUGAGGUUUCCAUCAUUGAAGGCCACCAUUUCCUCCAGCAAGAGCAGGCCGAGAGGGUGAACUCUGAGAUACUGUCCUUCCUGGACAAGCUUUCUGGCGAGGAAGCACAUAAUUAA